rnacentral:rRNA from 1 species
CCUACGGGUGGCAGCAGUAGGGAAUAUUGCUCAAUGGGGGAAACCCUGAAGCAGCAACGCCGCGUGGAGGAUGAAGGUUUUAGGAUUGUAAACUCCUUUUGUUAGAGAAGAUUAUGACGGUAUCUAACGAAUAAGCACCGGCUAACUCCGUGCCAGCAGCCGCGGUAAUACGGAGGGUGCAAGCGUUACUCGGAAUCACGGGGCGUAAAGGGUGCGUAGGCGGGGUAAUAAGUCAGAUGUGAAAUCCGGUAGCUUAACUACAGAACUGCAUUUGAAACUGUUACUCUGGAGUGUGGGAGAGGUAGGUGGAAUGCGUGGUGGAGGGGUAAAAUCCGUAGAGAUCAAGAGGAAUACUCAUUGCGAAGGCGACCUGCUGGAACAUUACUGACGCUGAUGCACGAAAGCGUGGGGAGCAAACAGGAUUAGAUACCCGGGUAGUC